rnacentral:rRNA from 1 species
UACGUAGGGGGCUAGCGUUAUCCGGAAUUACUGGGCGUAAAGGGUGCGUAGGUGGUUUCUUAAGUCAGAGGUGAAAGGCUACGGCUCAACCGUAGUAAGCCUUUGAAACUGGGAAACUUGAGUGCAGGAGAGGAGAGUGGAAUUCCUAGUGUAGCGGUGAAAUGCGUAGAUAUUAGGAGGAACACCAGUGGCGAAGGCGGCUUACUGGACUGUAACUGACGUUGAGGCUCGAAAGCGUGGGGAGCAAACAGG